AGCAGUCGCCGCGGUAAAACGUAGGUCCCGAGCGUUGUCCGGAUUUAUUGGGCGUAAAGCGAGCGCAGGCGGUUAGAUAAGUCUGAAGUUAAAGGCUGUGGCUUAACCAUAGUACGCUUUGGAAACUGUUUAACUUGAGUGCAAGAGGGGAGAGUGGAAUUCCAUGUGUAGCGGUGAAAUGCGUAGAUAUAUGGAGGAACACCGGUGGCGAAAGCGGCUCUCUGGCUUGUAACUGACGCUGAGGCUCGAGAGCGUGGGGAGCAAACAGGAUUAGAUACCCCAGUAGUCCCUGUCUCUUAUACA
rnacentral:rRNA from 1 species